GAUGAACGCUGGCGGCGUGCCUAAUACACGCAAGUCGAGCGAACAGAUGAGAAGCUUGCUUCUCUGAUGUUAGCGGCGGACGGGUGAGUAACACGUGGGUAACCUACCUAUAAGACUGGGAUAACUCCGGGAAACCGGGGCUAAUACCGGAUAAUAUUUUGAACCGCAUGGUUCGAUAGUGAAAGACGGUUUCGGCUAUCACUUAUAGAUGGACCCGCGCCGUAUUAGCUAGUUGGUAAGGUAAUGGCUUACCAAGGCGACGAUACGUAGCCGACCUGAGAGGGUGAUCGGCCACACUGGAACUGAGACACGGUCCAGACUCCUACGGGAGGCAGCAGUAGGGAAUCUUCCGCAAUGGGCGAAAGCCUGACGGAGCAACGCCGCGUGAGUGAUGAAGGGUUUCGGCUCGUAAAACUCUGUUAUUAGGGAAGAACAAAUGUGUAAGAAACUGUGCACAUCUUGACGGUACCUAAUCAGAAAGCCACGGCUAACUACGUGCCAGCCGCCGCAGUAA
rnacentral:rRNA from 1 species